rnacentral:misc_RNA from 1 species
AAGGAGUCUAACAUAUAUGCGAGUAUUUGGGUGGCAAACCCUUAUGCGAAAUGAAAGUGAGUACGAGUGGGAUCCCGCAAGUGCGCACCAUUGACCGAUCAUGAUAUCUCUUGAUAGAUUCGUGUUAGAGCAUAUCUGUUGGGACCCGAAAGAUGGUGAACUAUGCCUGAAUAGGAUGAAGCCAGAGGAAACUCUGGUGGAGGUUCGAAGCCGUACUGACGUGCAAAUCGAUGGUCAAAUUUGGGUAUAGGGGCGAAAGACUAAUCGAACCAUCUAGUAGCUGGUUCCCUC